AGUGGUAAGGCACCGCUUUUUGGUAGCGGCAUUCCCAGGUUCGAAUCCUGGUAC
rnacentral:tRNA from 14 species